rnacentral:rRNA from 1 species
AUUGAACGCUGGCGGCAUGCCUUACACAUGCAAGUCGAACGGCAGCGCGGGAGCAAUCCUGGCGGCGAGUGGCGAACGGGUGAGUAAUAUAUCGGAACGUGCCCAGUAGUGGGGGAUAGCCCGGCGAAAGCCGGAUUAAUACCGCAUGAGACCUGAGGGUGAAAGCGGGGGAUCGCAAGACCUCGCGCUAUUGGAGCGGCCGAUAUCAGAUUAGGUAGUUGGUGGGGUAAAGGCCUACCAAGCCUGCGAUCUGUAGCUGGUCUGAGAGGACGACCAGCCACACUGGGACUGAGACACGGUCCAGACUCCUACGGGAGGCAGCAGUGGGGAAUCUUGCGCAAUGGGGGCAACCCUGAUCCAGCCAUGCCGCGUGAGUGAAGAAGGCCCUCGGGUUGUAAAGCUCUUUUGUCCGGAAAGAAAAGCAUCUGGUUAAUACCCGGGUGUUCUGACGGUACCGGAAGAAUAAGCACCGGCUAACUUCGUGCCAGCAGCCGA